CGACACCUCGUUCAUUUUCCCGCCACUUUGACGAUGACAAAACUAACUCUAAAUGGUACUACAAAGAGAAACAAAAGAAAGAUUCUCUGACUGACAAAGUUUAUUCUGAUAGAAAUGGGCAGACAACAUGCAGGCAAUUUGUUGUUGUGACAGGAGAAACUUGGUUUGAGAUUGCUCCAUGACCAAACGUAAAUGGAGUUGCUUGAAAAUUGACUAUCCCUGCGUUUUGUCUAGGCAGUUGCAGACUCUGUGGCAAUCGCAACUCGAUGCGACGUAAUCUGGCAUUUGGUGGCUACAUCCUAGUAGAAACUCUAAUUUACGGAUAAUCUAGAUCCGGGAUAUGUCGGCUUUCCAACGUGAAAAAGCAAAGAUUUGCAGUCAGAAGUGGUGGUGGACGUGCCUUGCCAACGAAGUGGAACGUGUAUGUCCGUCGUAAUUCUACAGCUUUUACCGUCAGUGCAAUCAUAAAAUCAAGAAAACGUCCAUCCGAAAUGUUUAACUCGGCCUUGACAGCUGAGAGACACUCGGCAGUCGCCUAUAUAAAGUAGCCAGGUGUGGAAAAGCUUUGGUGUCAAAAUGUUAUUUCUCCAACGCUGGACAUCAGUUAUGACAAUCAGGCAAAAUUCAAGAGAUCCAGUGAAGGUGUUUGUCGCAAAAAAAAAAAUCUUAAUUAAUGGUUCAGUCCAUUGGCAAUAAUCAACGUCGUGCCUGGGUGCUUCCCAUCGAGGUCGAUUGGUGCUCGCACAUUCAGAAUCUUGAUUAUCAUCAUUCGCUCGGAUUUGACAAUCGAAUCGUUCCUGAAAAACUUCACGUCAGUUUCUCCAGCUCGCCCAGUUCGCAUCUUCAACACGGAUGACGCAAUCAUUUCAUUUGCAGUUGUGACUGACAGAAGAAACUUGGCUUGAGACUGCUCCAUGACCAAACGUAAAUGGAGUUGCUUGAAAAUUGACUUUCCCUGCGUUUUGUCUAGGCAGUUGCAGACUCUUUGGCAAUCGCAAAGCAAGGUGAUAUAAUCUGGCAUUUGGUGGCUACAUCCCAGUAGAUUCUAAUUUAAGGAUAAUCUAGAUCCGGUCUAUGUCGGCUUUCCAACGUGAAGUACAUCAUUAACUUAACUUAAAUUUGCAGUCAGAAGUGGUGGUGGACGUGUCUUACCAAUGAAGUGGA